UGGGGAAUAUUGCACAAUGGAGGAAACUCUGAUGCAGCGACGCCGCGUGAGUGAAGAAGUAAUUCGUUAUGUAAAGCUCUAUCAGCAGGGAAGAUAGUGACGGUACCUGACUAAGAAGCUCCGGCUAAAUACGUGCCAGCAGCCGCGGUAAUACGUAUGGAGCAAGCGUUAUCCGGAUUUACUGGGUGUAAAGGGAGCGUAGGCGGUCUUAUAAGUCUGAUGUGAAAGCCCGGGGCUCAACCCCGGGACUGCAUUGGAAACUGUAGGACUAGAGUGUCGGAGGGGUAAGUGGAAUUCCUAGUGUAGCGGUGAAAUGCGUAGAUAUUAGGAGGACACCAGUGGCGAAGGCGGCUUACUGGACGAUUACUGACGCUGAGGCU
rnacentral:rRNA from 1 species